rnacentral:rRNA from 1 species
CCAAUAGCGUAUAUUAAAGUUGUUGCAGUUAAAAAGCUCGUAGUUGAAUUUCGGGGUCAGUAGGUCGGUCAUGCCUCCGGUAUGUACUGGUCUCACUGAUUCCUCCUUCCUGAUGAGCCGUAAUGCCAUUAAUUUGGUGUUGCGGGGAAUCUGGACUGUUACUUUGAAAAAAUUAGAGUGUUUAAAGCAAGCUAACGCUUGAAUACAUUAGCAUGGAAUAAUGGAAUAGGACGUUCGAUCCUAUUUUGUUGGUUUCUAGGAUGGACGUAAUGAUUAAUAGGGAUAGUUGGGGGCAUUAGUAUUCAAUUGUCAGAGGUGAAAUUCUUGGAUUUAUUGAAGACUAACUACUGCGAAAGCAUUUGCCAAGGAUGUUUUCAUUAAUCAAGAACGAAAGUUAGGGGAUCGAAGACGAUCAGAUACCGUCGUAGUCUUAACCAUAAACUAUGCCGACUAGGGAUCGGAUGAUGUUAAUUUUUUAAUGACUCAUUCGGCGCCUUACG